AUUUUAUCAAGAGUGGUGGAGGGAACUGGCCCUAUGAAGCCCGGCAACAACUAGCAACAAAGCUAGAAAUGUGCUAAUUCCAGCAGGAUUUAUUCCUGGAAGAUAAGAG
rnacentral:ncRNA from 2 species